AUUAAUACUAAGAUGAAGAAAAGUCUAUUUUAAGCAAAUUACAGAGAACUGGGAAAGAUGAGAACCAGGAUUAUGCUAAAUAGAACUUUAUCGCUUCAGAGUUUCAUGACUGAAAUAAGUAAGUUAUGACGUCAGCCUACGUUAUAAGGGAGGGUUUAGUUGAACCCCGUGAGAUAAUGAUUCGUGAGAACAUUAUAAUCUAGAGUGGUAACGCGCUAUAUGCGCCUCUAUU
rnacentral:ncRNA from 1 species